AUUUUUGGGCUCAAAUUUGGCCCAGCUUUUCUGUUUUUGGGCUCGGCCCAUCUUCUACUUGGUUUCUCCUCUAUUCCGUCUUUCCCACCCUUGAAACUAAACCCUAAUUCUUCACUUCACCGUCCGGAUUUGAAAUCGGCUACACUUCAGAAAUGAAGCUUGUUCACGUAGUCUUUCGAUCCGUUAAUACUAACAUAUUACAUAAAUCUUAUCGAUCCACCAUCACCAGAGCAAUAUCUACAAACCCUUAUUCAGCCAAUGAUGGUAACAACACAAGUGAGACUGCUGAUGAGUUUGAGCGCCGGAUAUUCGGUGGCGUAUCGGGGAACAGUUCAAGUUCAGAUUCUUUUUUCCGAAAGCUGGAUAAAAUGGAGAAGGGUUGGAAUAGGUCUGCUUGGUCAAGUAAUUUGAACGGAGGGAAUAGUUCAUCAUAUAUGGAUGGUUUGGAUGACAGUUUUGAUACUCUAUCCGAUGGAAUGGAUGGUAAGUUACAGAAAGCUGCAACGUAUUUUGAGUUCGAUCCGGAAGAAAUUGCGAAGGAUGAUUAUGCUUAUCGGCCGGAUGUCAGUUUUCAGCCUGGGAUGACUUAUACAAUUAAGCAAAUGAAUAUGGAACUGCAAAGGACCUGGUAGCAUAUGCAGAGCCAGAGAUAAAAGCAGGGCAUCUAAACCGGGUGCUAGAUAAGAGGGUGGUGGCGCGAGAUAUUAAUGAGAGGGUGGCGUUGGAGGUGGUGGCUGCCAUUGCCAUUCAAUGUGUCAACUUAGAAGGAAAGGAGAGGCCAAGUGUAACAGACAUUGUUGCUACUUUGGAGAGGGCACUGGUUCUUUGUGAGGAUACUAAUGCUGUUAGCUUCUCUACCACUACAUUCUCAUUCCCUUCUGAUCGAAUCCCAAAUUUCAUGCCAAGCAACUAAAUAAAUCAGCUGGUGUGGGAGACAUUGUGGAAGGGGAUUUGCACGGACUCGAAGAAAAUCAUUAUUCCAGGACCAGGGACUAGGGUGGUACGAUGGGGUGCAGACUUUGAACCGAUUCAAGCACUAAAAUUUUAGUGGAACAACCUGUCGUACAUAAUUAUACCAGCCAACUGGAUUCAACAUCAUUGGAUUUUUCAGCCAACACAACUCGGUCGGUCUAUGUAUGAAUGCGCAUUAAAGGCUCGUAAAUAAAGAACAAAAGCUCGUCAGGUUCUCUUGAUUACUAUUAAAACAAUGGAUAGCAGAUUCUUCUUCUAAAACACAGAAACAAAUUGGGUUCA